rnacentral:misc_RNA from 1 species
GAAAUGCGAUACCUGGUGUGAAUUGCAGAAUCCCGCGAACCAUCGAGUCUUUGAACGCAAGUUGCGCCCGAGGCCAUUCGGCCGAGGGCACGCCUGCCUGGGCGUCACGCCAAACACGCUCCCACCCCCUCAUCGGGGAUCGGGAUGCGGCAUGUGGCCCCCCGUCACGCAAGCGAUGGUGGGCCGAAGAUGUGGCUGCCGGUGUUUCGUGCCGGACACAGCGCGUGGUGGGCGAUCUCGCUUUACUUACCGCAGUGCAUUCAGCGCGUAGCCGACGUGAUGGCCCCAAACGACCCUAUAUAAACGGAGCGCACGACGCUCCGACCGCGACCCCAGGUCAGACGGGACUACCCGCUGAGUUUAA